rnacentral:misc_RNA from 1 species
AAAAUAUUUAAGAUCACAUGCUCUAUAAUGCCAAUAUAGAACAUCAUUACAAAUAUUGGCAACAAGAUUCAAGGGCCAUAUUGUGAUAUUGUGCAAUAUUGACAUGCAUUCCACAUCACUUCCAUUGUGUUUUGUUUUAUUUUGUUAUUCUUGUUGCCUCACAUGUUAGCCCUGUUUAUCUAUCCUAUUUUUGGUUGCCUAGUCUUGUUACAUUAAGCCUGCAAGAGAGCAAGAGUGUAGAGUAAUCUCAUGUUUGUUCAAUCUAAAAUUUCGUGAGGCUAGAUAAAGUAUCUCAAUCUCUCCAAACACCAACUUAAAUUUCAGAUUGCUGAAUGUUAUAUGGUUUUACCAUGUGAAGAUCAUCUUACCAUAAAGAUAUGACAAGAAUUAAAAUAGAUAUAAGCAAGCAUCUGUAUUAGGGAGAAUUGCUGCCUCCAACAGUCUGUAUGGAAUUUAAUACGCGCAUGGAAGAUAUAUGUGUGCACAAAUAUGCACUUAUUAUUGUGGAUGGAAUGAAAUGCUAGAAGAUUAGGAUUGCUUUCUACUCUAGUCUAGUUUGAUUGCAAACAAUUAACAAAGGAAGCUUAAAAUAUCCAUGACGCAGGGAAUAAAUAUAAUUAACUGUGAAGGUCUUAAAGCAUGUUGGAAAUAUAUGUCCAGAAACUCAGAACAAACAGUUGCAAACCAUUUAAAUUGCAUACAGACCAGAAACUCAAAUGACAGGGAACAAGGGUUUUCUGGAACAAAAACAUUAAUUUCCAAACAAAAUUAAACGGAUGGAAA